AAACUGUCAAAGACUAACUCACACAACACCCAUUCCUCAAAUAAAGAUUCUGAAGAACCACUGCACAGUAUAAUGAAGGGAACGGCUCUGAGACCAUCCUUAAAGGCUGGAUUUCAAUGGAAGGAUCACAGUGGCUCAGCAUACCUACAUGGGUUGAAUAUCCUUUAUCAAGAAAAUGCUUGGGACCAGAAGGGUUUCAGGAGCUGUGCCUGACAAUUUUCUCUUUGAAGACCUUUAUCUCUGGAUUUAACCCAUCACCACUACAACUACCAUCACUGACUGAAUCCCCCAAAUUGGUGCAAUGGUUUACAUUGUUUCUUUUAAGGCAAUGCUAAUGUCUGUGAAAGAAUUAAAGUGAAGAGGCAAUACCUGAAAAAAUAAAAUAUUAUACACAAAUAUUUUGGAUACCUAAGAGUCACCCUACUAAAAUUCAAUAAGGAAAACAACCUUCCACCUACUGAAAUCAUACCUCCACUCCAGGCUGUAGCCAUUCCCAGCCUCCCUCCUUCACCUCAGUGGGACCCUGUUAUCCUGAUCCGCACAGCAUUAUGCUGAACUCACAAGAUAACGGGAACAGAAAAUAACCAGU